AAUAGUAUCAAUAGGAAUAAUAAUAAAUGAAUAAUUAGUACCAAUAAUAAGAUCAUUAACAGUAAAUGAUGUAGUAUCAUUCACAGACUCCUGUUCAAAGUCUGUCCCAUUACUGUAUACUGUGAUAUUGUGCUGGUAUAUACUGCAAUUGUAAUCCUGUGUGUUCAAUGACCAACUGAUUGUCAGUGCACUGUUGUUAACAGGACUAAAAGUGAUAUUAACAACUGACACUGAUACUGGUGGACCUAUUCAUAUAGUAUUAUUAGCUAUAAUUUUAAAAUAAAAUUAGCAAUUACCUGUCAUUUUGAUAGUAAAUGUAACGAAACUAUUACUUACAAUUUGAUUCGAACAACUAGCCAUAGUUCCAUUCAUUGAUACAUUUACUGAUGGUAUUGUACCAGUACUUGUCACUGUAGUACCAAUAAUAUCAGUAACAUUUAGUAUAAGGACACGAUUAAUAAUUACAGCAGAUACAGCAUUUUGCAGUUUUCUUAUAGUAUCUAGCAUCAUAGCUCUAUAUUGCCAGACAUAGUGGAGUAUAAGAUGGAGAGGUUUGAACCAACUCUGUUGCAGAUGAUAAUAGAAUAAGAUCAACCAAUACAAGACACCAGUAGAUACCAGUGGUAGCCAUUAGUAAGAGGAAUGAGAACUGAACAGUUUAUACUAUUAGAAUGUAAACUGCUUAUGUCGUUAUUCUACACUCAUUGCCACACCUUAACUUGAUAUACAUAACAUUCAUUGAUAGUAUGUAUUAUAUAUGAAUGAGAAGACAUGGAGUAAGUGCUGGUAUUAUGAGACAGUUUGUUAAGUGUCUCAUAACUACUCUAAGCAAUAGAUAAAAAUAAACAUAAUGAAUAAACAUAACAAUGUAUGAUAUUAACAACAUCAUGAGCACAUCUUGGUACAGUUCUCUCUGUUUAUGUUUGAGUGUGUCUGUUAUUGUUACUGCAUGUAAUUAUCUAUUGUUAUUGUUUUAUGAUAGGCUGCUCUUCCCCAGUCUCUCCUGUUCUUCCUGUUAUUGUUGUUGAUGUUCAGUUCAGUACACAUUCAUUACAUUAUGAUAAACAAUGGAUUGUUUAUUGAGACUAAUUGACAAUAACAA